AGGAGUGCAUCAAACCCUAACAAGUGGAUCGCCUGGAGGGACGCUGAGGCCGAAACUCGCUUCACAAGUGGAGAUGGAGUAAACAAAAUAAGCGCACCUGCUGUAGACGAAGCAACAUUUUGCAAUAGAAGUCUGUGUUUGUUCUCUGAAGUCUGAAUCAACAUCUCAAAGGGACAGAUGGAAUCCCCUGAAAGAAAAGCAUAAAAACAAGAGAGGUCACAGUGGCUGCAUGUGUUCAGUAUGAAGCCACUCCCUCUCCAGGUUGAUAAUAGGCAGGCAGAGCAGGGAACAGGUGCAGCCAUUGAAUGGUCCUUAUGUGUAUAGAUCCAACCCAGAUCCAGAACUGUGAACUGUGGAGAACAGGUGACAUGUUAAAUAAUUCACUGUGGAUGCUGGCUUUCUGUUUGGUUUUUCCUUACCUAUUAUGUAAAAUGUGGAGAUGGUUGAGUGAAAUGGCCAAGAUCAUGCAUGUCUGACCUGUAAAAGUUGUACAAGGUUUUAACAGCUGUAAAAGCCCGACAGCCUUGAUCCUAUGCAGUAUUAAGUUGUCGUUAUGCAAAUUCCUUCCUCUUAGCAUUCAAGAGAUUUGUAAAUGUUUAAACAGCGCUCUGUAGCUUCAUGUUGCUUCUUCCCUGAGUGUCUAGAGUAAACAGUUAAGUGAAAUGCAUUUCAGGGGCACAAUCACUUACACUUAAAGUUUUUAAGUGUGUUACGUAAUAGUCGUCUGUAUCCAGCAUCAGUUCCCACAGUGCACUGUGUGUUUGUCUACUUGUUGCAUGAGUUUGCUGUUCAAGAGUCCAUGAGCAUAGCUGGAAAUAACCUUCAGCUGGUUUGUGCUAACAUUAGGGCCUGAUAUCUAUCAAUUAUUCAUCAUGUUCUGGUCUGCCUGUGCAAAUCUAAAUGUGUCUCACCAUGGAAACAGCCUUCUGUCUCCGCUGGAGGGUGUUGGUUUCAGCGGCCGUGCUGACUAUAACCUCGUUUCUCAGUCCAGGCAGGCCUGCUCUGCUCCAGAUUCUGACGCAUGCGAUGAAAAAGACCCGGGACAGUUUCACAGUGUGUAGUAAAUUUGAUUUGAAUUUCAGUCAACUGACAAAAGUUUAUAUAGA